rnacentral:lncRNA from 13 species
GAUUGACGAUAAUUUUUAUCCUCUGCCAGAGGUGAAAUUAUCAUGUGAUACACACAGAUCUAUCGGUAUUAGUGUACAAGGAUUAGCAGAUGCGUUGAUUUUGAUGAGAUACCCAUUUCAAAGUAACAAAGCUAAGGAACUCAAAGUCCAAAUUUUUGAGAUUCUUUAUUAUGGCGCUCUAGAAGCAAGUUACGAAACAGUUACUGAGAAAGAUGCUUAUGAGUCAGAUGAAGGCAAUCCAGUCAAUAAAGUUGUGUUUUUUAAAGUAAAUAUUAUCUUAAUUAUGUUAAAAAUCGGAGAGACAUGCAUAAACUUGUAUGGUAAAAUAAAUAUUUUUAUAUGAUAACAAUUGUAUCGUUAUUUCUAAUAAAUAUAAUAAUAUUGCAUAUAAAAAAGAUUAUCUCAUUAUUAGUUAAAGUAUAAUAAUAAUUGGAAACUAUAUUAUCUAUACUUUUGAAAGCGCGCGCUAACGCGGCCAAAUUGAUGUAUAACCAACUAUUGUGCGCGUUCAAACUGGCAAAUCAGCUUGCCUGAUCAAGUUGAAUGUCAUUUGUUACAUCCGCAGACAACCAAUCGUGUGCAUACAAUCGUUUCGCAGAGCUGCCUAUGGGUGCGUUCCGUUUCAUACAUGAUGCGCAUAUAUCUUUGUUUAACAUUUGGUGAACAACAAGGAUAAACGAUGCAUCGCACGCAUUAUGCGUGAAACGGAACGCACCCACAGUUACUACGCCGGCUUUAGAACUUUAGACGCAUCCAAUGUUUCCUUAUACCAAUUAUAUGGUCAUCUCUUGUCACGCGGGAAAUGUCCUACGUACAAUCCAGUCUGCAAUCUGCAUAGAUCCUCUCUACGGAGUCAUAAAACAGCGAUAAUAAAUGCGUAUAUAAUUUAUAUAUGUAACAAAGUGGGCAUAAAUGAUCAUAUAAAAGUUUGAUUCAAUUAUAAA